rnacentral:lncRNA from 1 species
AUCAUCAUAACAGAGUCUGUUAUGAUGAAAGUCCUCAGCAGGCGGUGUGACGAUGUGACCAGCUCUGGCCAAGGAGCUGUAGGCAGAAGUGUCUUGCAGCAGCUCCUGUAAAUCUUAAAAGACAGCUGGUGCGUGCCUUUUUUCCUUUGUUUUUUCCCUUCCCCCUUCCUGCUGCGCUGAAUAUGGAUAUGGUGAGUGAAUCUAGAGCAGCCAUUUGGAGGUAUGAAGAGAUCUUGGAAAUAGAGGCCAUGUGUAUUGAAACAAGACCGAACAACUCCAAGUUCCUGAAGACUUCAUUUCACCAACCCAGAACCUCCUCGAUCAUCACAGUGGUCGAACCAUUUUACGUUUUCACCAGCAAGGAAGGAGGGUUCCUGUUGCUCUACCAUUUGGUACUGUCAGCGUUUUGGAUAUUAGCCGUCCUAAUAGCCUUUGCAUGGAUGAUUGUCUGUCCUCUGUUGGGCCCCUUCUGAAGAGAUGGAGUUGGACUCUGAAUACCUCAAGAGUGGGAGAUUGGUCUUGCCAAUCAGAGAAGCUCCAGGGCUAGCCUAGUGCCUGGCACAUGCUUUAUACAAUUAUUCCCAAAUCUUCUAAACUGACAGUGAGGGAGAGUAAUUUGAAAGGACUGCUCAAUUCAACGUCAUCUGAAGAUUUGCACCACAGCUGCAUUUUUCCAAUUUCCUGGCAUCUAUUCUGCUCUCCUGGACUUUUCAAAAACAUUUGUAAGUGGAUGAAUAAAUAUAAUAACUGA